UACAGAGGGGGCAAGCGUUAUUCGGAAUUAUUGGGCGUAAAGGGCGCGUAGGCGGCGAACCAAGUCAGAUGUGAAAGUCCUGGGCUUAACCUGGGGACUGCAUUUGAUACUGGUUUGCUUGAAUUCGGGAGAGGAUAGCGGAAUUCCCAGUGUAGAGGUGAAAUUCGUAGAUAUUGGGAAGAACACCGGUGGCGAAGGCGGCUAUCUGGCCCGAUACUGACGCUGAGGCACGAAAGCGUGGGGGAGCAAACAGG
rnacentral:rRNA from 1 species